rnacentral:rRNA from 1 species
AACGAACGCUGGCGGCAUGCCUAACACAUGCAAGUCGAACGAGACCUUCGGGUCUAGGGGCGCACGGGUGCGUCACGCGUGGGAACCUGCCCUUAGGUUCGGAAUAACUCCCCGAAAGGGGUGCUAAUACCGGAUAAUUGCUUCUGACCAAAGAUUUAUCGCCUUUGGAUGGGCCCGCGUUGGAUUAGCUAGGUGGUAGGGUAAAAGCCUACCAAGGCGACGAUCCAUAGCUGGUCUGAGAGGAUGAUCAGCCACACUGGGACUGAGACACGGCCCAGACUCCUACGGGAGGCAGCAGUGGGGAAUAUUGGACAAUGGGCGAAAGCCUGAUCCAGCAAUGCCGCGUGAGUGAUGAAGGCCUUAGGGUUGUAAAGCUCUUUUACCCGGGAUGAUAAUGACAGUACCGGGAGAAUAAGCUCCGGCUAACUCCGUG